GCUGGGCAUGGUGGUGCAUGCCUGUAAUCCCAGCUACUCAGGAGGCUGAGGCAGAAGAAUUGCUUGAACCCGGGAGGUGGAGGUUGCAGUUAGCUGAGAUCAUGCCACUGCACUCCAGCCUGGGUGAUAGAGCGAGACUCUGUCUCAA
ensembl:misc_RNA Metazoa_SRP Metazoan signal recognition particle RNA